UGGGGAAUUUUGGACAAUGGGCGAAAGCCUGAUCCAGCAAUGCCGCGUGUGUGAAGAAGGCCUUCGGGUUGUAAAGCACUUUUGUCCGGAAAGAAAUCCUUGGCUCUAAUACAGUCGGGGGAUGACGGUACCGGAAGAAUAAGCACCGGCUAACUACGUGCCAGCAGCCGCGGUAAUACGUAGGGUGCAAGCGUUAAUCGGAAUUACUGGGCGUAAAGCGUGCGCAGGCGGUUUGCUAAGACCGAUGUGAAAUCCCCGGGCUCAACCUGGGAACUGCAUUGGUGACUGGCAGGCUAGAGUAUGGCAGAGGGGGGUAGAAUUCCACGUGUAGCAGUGAAAUGCGUAGAGAUGUGGAGGAAUACCGAUGGCGAAGGCAGCCCCCUGGGCCAAUACUGACGCUCAUGCACGAAAGCGUGGGGAGCAAACAGGAUUAGAUACCCUGGUAGUCCACGCCCUAAACGGUGUCAACUAGUUGUUGGGGAUUCAUUUCCUUAGUAACGUAGCUAACGCGUGAAGUUGACCGCCUGGGGAGUACGGUCGCAAGAUUAAAACUUAAAUGAAUUGACGGGGUCAUAGCUGUUUCCU
rnacentral:rRNA from 1 species